rnacentral:rRNA from 1 species
UACGUAGGCAGCGAGCGUUGUUCGGAGUUACUGGGCGUAAAGGGUGUGUAGGCGGUUGUUUAAGUUUGGUGUGAAAUCUCCCGGCUCAACUGGGAGGGUGCGCCGAAUACUGAAUGACUUGGAGUGUGGGAGAGGUGAGUGGAAUUCCUGGUGUAGCGGUGAAAUGCGUAGAUAUCAGGAGGAACACCGGUGGUGUAGACGGCUCACUGGACCAUAACUGACGCUGAGACACGAAAGCGUGGGUAGCAAACAGG